CUUAAAACUUCAUUUCUCAUUCUCUUGGCAUUUUCUUUCUAGCUCCGUUCUCCUGGAAACCUGAUAAAGGUGGAACGUUGGCUGUGUUACCAAGCAACAAUGCUCGUGGUAAAAAUGAUCCACUUCAUCUGGACGGCGAGGGCCGUGAAUGAAUCAUAAGUACCUGGUGGGAAGCUGUGGCUCUGGAGUUCUGAAUCUUGACUCUUGGAGCUCGGCACGCCCCUUGAGGAGACAAGGAAGCUAUUCCCAUGAGACUCUUACUAGAAAUAUCAGUUUCUCAUUGGAAUAAGGCUUUAAUUUGCUGUUUAUGUGACAUUUCAGUUUACCUGGGUAUCCUGUAUUUUAUCUGGCAACCCUACUUGGGGUAAAGGAGCUAGAGAGACACCUGCCAUCACGCAGCUGGCGUGCUGUUUCAUGCCUUUGCAUCCUUAUUCUAAAUUAAGUUAGGCCAGGCACGGUGGCUCACGCCUAUAAUCCCAGCAUUUUGGGUGGCCGAGGCGGGUAGAUCACCUGAGAUCAGGAGUUCAAGAUCAGCCUGGCCAACAUGAUGAAACCCUGUCUCUACUGAAAAUACAAAAAAUCAUCCAGGCGUGGUGGCGGACUCCUGUAAUCCCAGAUUUUCGGGAGGCUGAGGCAAGAGAAUCUCUCAAAUACGGGAGGUGAAGGUUGCAGUGAGCCGAGAUUCACCAUUGCACUCCAGCCUGGGCAACAAGAACAAAACUCCAUCUCAAAAUAAAUAGUUAGUGCCAAGCAUGUCAUGCUGUAGUCAUGCAAGUCUAAGUGUCUAACAGACCCUGAGAAGAACUCCAAAGUGGGCAUCGUAACCUAGCAACAGUGACCAUCCUAGGAAGAAUAGCACCCCAGGAACCCAGAUUAUGUUCUGAGCAGAAAAGCAGCAAGCCAAGCAUGCUGGGUUCCCAGAAGACCAACACUGUUUUGCAUACCAGUGAAACUAGUGACAUCAGCUGGUCUAAAGGACCCCACAAGCAGUUGACUCAAAGAACAAAGUUUCCAAGUUCUGAUUUUCAUACCCCUUCCUCAAUCAAUCAACAACCACAAUUUUCUAGCCCCUUGCCCUUCAUAAUUCUCUUAAAAACCCCAGCCCAGAACCCCUCAGAGAUGGAUUCGAGGGUCUCCUUCCAUCUCCUUGCUCAGCCACCCUACAAUCAUUAAAGGCUUUCUC